AUGGGAUCCCUUCGUAAUAUUUGUGACUUUACUUUUAUUGCGCUUUUGCUGCUAAACUCCACAGAAGCAGUUGAAUAUUCUGAAAAAGAUGAGGGAUAUGCGCAAGGAUUUAUUCCAAACUGUCCUGGUGAUUCGAAGCCGGCCGAAAUCAAACCGGAACAUUUAAACAAAACAAAGAUCUCAGUAUUGGGCAGCGGCUCGCUUCUGCAGGCCAAUUGGACGUCUUACAACUACCGCAACGUGAAAGCCUUAGCCAAGGAUCCAAACGUUGACUUCAGAAGAAAGACGAUUGUGUAUUGCCCUGGUUAUUUGGAUUCGACUGCGAUACCCGUAGGAAGAAGCAUGCUGGUGCUCUACAAGAAGUUGGGGUAUAAUGUGUUGAUUUUAGAAUUCAUACAAUUCACUACGGAUAUAUGUAUUACCGUUAUCCGUUUAAUGCGUCCUGUCGGAAAGCACAUCGCCGAAAUGCUAGCCAACCUGACGACGGUCGGUCUCGACCCGAAAAAGCUUGAACUGAUUGGCCUCAGCCUUGGAGGCUUGUCCAUGGCCUUCGCCAUAUAUCGCGCCAUAGCCAAGAACUUCCAACAAAUUACUGGUAGAAACAUCUCAAAGCUCAUCGCUCUCGACCCUGCUGGACCCUGCGUCAGACACCUGGGACCAAAGGAUAGGUUAGACCCAUCCGACGCUGACUUUGUCCUACACAUCGCAACGAACGCCGAGGGGUAUGGCGUAGGCACUCCAGUUGGACAUAUAUCAGUCUACGUAAACGGAGGAGAGUACCAGACUGGUCUAUUUCCAACGUUUUUGUGCGAUAAUUUAUGCAGUCACGUACAGGUGUUUUUUUAUGGCUCUCGGCAUUGGAAAAUCCUGGGAAGUUUAUCAUGAUGCAAUGUGAUUCUCAAUAGCAAGCGAGAGAUCACAACUGUUUUGAGAGGAAGCCAAUAGUAACUAACACUCUGGAUCUAUAUACGGAUAGAAGCAAGCCGGGUAUUUAUUACUUGUCAACAAGUCCUAAAUACCCGUAUUAUUUGGGUAAAAAAGGCUUGAAACGGAGUGGCGCGUACUUUUUGACCCAUAU